UACGUAGGGUGCAAGCGUUUGUCCGGAAUUAUUGGGCGUAAAGAGCUCGUAGGCGGUUUGUCGCGUCUGCUGUGAAAACCCGAGGCUCAACCUCGGGCCUGCAGUGGGUACGGGCAGACUAGAGUGCGGUAGGGGAGAAUGGAAUUCCUGGUGUAGCGGUGGAAUGCGCAGAUAUCAGGAAGAACACCCGUGGCUAAGGCGGCUCUCUAGUACGGUACUGACGCUGAGACGCGAAAGCGUGGGGAGCGAACAGG
rnacentral:rRNA from 1 species